rnacentral:rRNA from 1 species
UACGGGGGGGGCAAGCGUUGUUCGGAAUUACUGGGCGUAAAGGGCUCGUAGGCGGCCAACUAAGUCAGACGUGAAAUCCCUCGGCUUAACCGGGGAACUGCGUCUGAUACUGGAUGGCUUGAGUGUGGGAGAGGGAUGCGGAAUUCCAGGUGUAGCGGUGAAAUGCGUAGAUAUCUGGAGGAACACCGGUGGCGAAGGCGGCAUCCUGGACCACGACUGACACUGAGGAGCGAAAGCCAGGGGAGCAAACGGG